rfam:Bathymodiolus thermophilus thioautotrophic gill symbiont strain BAT/CrabSpa'14 BATSymA_Scaffold59, whole genome shotgun sequence.
AUUCACCGCCACACAGGCGGCUUAGAAA